UACGAAGGGGGCUAGCGUUGUUCGGAAUUACUGGGCGUAAAGGGCUCGUAGGCGGCCAACUAAGUCAUACGUGAAAUCCCUCGGCUUAACCGGGGAACUGCGUCUGAUACUGGAUGGCUUGAGUUCGGGAGAGGGAUGCGGAAUUCCAGGUGUAGCGGUGAAAUGCGUAGAUAUCUGGAGGAACACCGGUGGCGAAGGCGGCAUCCUGGACCGAUACUGACGCUGAGGAGCGAAAGCGUGGGGAGCAAACAGG
rnacentral:rRNA from 1 species